rnacentral:piRNA from 1 species
CAGCAUGUUCCCAAGGGCUAUGGCUGGU